UGCAGAACAAGCAAAAGCCUGACCUAAGAUUUGGAGGUUGUUCAUUGGCUUGGGUUUUUGGUAGGAGGUGGGAGGAACUCUAUUAGCCACACUGUAGAGGAUGAGAUUUUAAGGAAAAAGGUCUGCCUCAUUAAUGUUCAAUAAGCCAAACACACCUCUGAGAAUUUAGAGUGUUACACAAAACCACAUAACAUAGAUAAUAUGCAGAUGUGCCCAGAGAAGCUGCGGAUGCCCCAUCCCUGGAGGCAUUCAAGGUCAGGCCGGAUGUGGCUCUGGGCAGCCUGGUCUGGUGGUUGGUGACACUGAACAUAGCAGGGGGGUUGAAACCACAUGAUCUUUGAGACUACACAUCUUUCUAUUUUCUAAACAAGUAGUUAUUCUGAGUAUGUUACAAACCCCUAAAAACGUUUCACAAGCUGAAGCCACUUGGAUCUUACAGUAAUGGACUGCACAUGGAAAGCUUUGCAAGGAGUACAGAGGCCAACACCUGCUCUGAAGAAAAGGUUGCUUGAAGUUUCUGGCUCUGGAAACUCAUUUUCACAGUGGUCCUUUGAUUUGUGGCCUUGAGUUUUCAUUUUCUACAAUUUGAAUCCAAAGAAUACGUACAAGGUGAUGAUCCUGACAACUGAAAAAAGCCAUCACAAUCCGCACAGGAUGCGACUGAGCUGUAGGCCUCCUUACCAAAGUUUUUACUUGCACUCCUGCGCCACAGAAUUUAAAUCUUUUUCUGCCCUCUCAUCAGUUUGUAUAAUCUCUCUUCAUUACAAAUGAAAAGUAUAUAUUUACAUUUCAUUUCCAAUGGAACCUUAUGUCCCAGAAUUUUUAUAUAUUUUUAAUAAUUUUUAAGCCAAAAAGCUUAAAAAUGGAAUCAAAUAAAACCUGCUUUCCCUCCAUUGUCACCUACCCCAUUGUUUUGCAUAACGUACUUCACACACAACAUCAUAAGCAGUUGAUUCUGACUCUGAGAGCAAAGAGCUGUUUUCUGUGAUAUGCAUCUAAUCUCUCUAAAGUCUAAACUUCAAAAAAAAUCUCAUGUACCUUAAUUACUUUAAUUCUUAAUUUAUAAAAUGCUUCCUAUUUUCUUUGCCUUUUCAAAAAUUGUUUCUUUCAACAAGGUGUGCUACAUACGUACAUGCACUUGGUAGGGCUUUCUUCUUUAGAAUAAUGUGAACAGAAUAUAAACACGUUUCAGCCAUCCUGUUUAACUGAAUGAUAGCAACUACGUACUUAAAAGCAUGAGUAGAUCCAUUGUUUUAUCAUUCUCCUUACUCUCAAGAGAAAGAGAGGUGCUUCAGCCCUCUGAUCAUCUCUCUGGCCCUCCUCUGGACCCACUCCAACAGCUCCACAUCCUUCCUAUGUUGGGGCCCCCAGACCUGGACACAGUGCUGCAGGUGGGGCCUCAGGAGGGCAGAGCAGAGGGAGAUGAUCCCCUCCCUGGAGGUGAUUUCCAGUUCUUGCUGACACCUGCUUAUUUGAUAUUUUAGGUGAUCCAGACUGAGAUGCUGCUUACUUUAGCAUUUCAGUUUCCCAACCUCUAUUUUCAACAUUAAAAUUGAAAGUAAUAUUAAUUCAGAGAGGCAUUCAAAGGAUUAUUGGGUAAGAGCAAAAUACAGAAAACAGUGGCAUUUAACCAAUCUUAGACAGAAAGCACUAAUCUUUAAAGAAUAAAUUGCAGAGAGAAAUGGCACGGGCACACAAGUCAUAACCAUUACAAUUAAGGUCUCUUUGCUGCCAAUUGUCAAAAAGACCGAAGAGGAAUAGAGCAGAUUUAUUGCCGUGCUCUUACAGAGGCUGAUCACUGUUUCAGGCUGAGAGUUCUAAAAGUGUAGAUGGUUGGUUUUGUCCUUUUACCAGACUCUUGAGUAAGUUAUCAGAGAAUACAAACACAGAGAAUACAAACAUUCAGUGGCAGAGCAAUUACCAAACAGCAAGAAGACCUAGCUCAGUUGCUCAUAAUUUCAGGUGUCCACCAGCAGGUGGGACUUAGAGCAUAUCAGAAUUUCAACUAGUCGCAAUCCUUACACAUAAUGCAUUGAAAGAUUCAUCAAAGAAAAACAAAAAUAUGUUAAAAAUAUACAAUAUAUUCAAAAAUGAAAAAAACUGAAGAGACUCGAGAAGACUCACGGUAUUUUUUUACUAGUAUUUUCCUGUCCUGAGUGUGAGAUUUCACUGAGAAUAGAAACUGAAGGAGAGACCAAAGAUGUGUCUAACCAAAGGUCAGCUAAAAGUUGUGUCAUCAAGAGCUAUUGAGUCCAUUUGUGUCACGACUUUAAAGUCUUGAUCACCUGCAGUUCCCUUAGACACCUGUGAAAUUAACUGAAUUAACACUCAAAAAGAAGACAUUGCAUUCUAACUUAUCCCAAAAAUCAAUUCAGAAGCCAAUCUGGAAGCACCCAGAAAAAAAUGACAGAGACUCAGAACAGUGAAAUCCAUUUUCUUUCCAAGUCUGAUGAGGAACAGCACAAGUCCUUGAACACCUUGCAGCUACCAUGGCUGAGACAUGGCUGUGGAUGAGCACCACAUGUCAUUGCCUGCUCAUUUCCCUAACAUCCUUGGCCUCUUCAGGAGAUUGCCAGAGGAAUGACAGUAGUGCAGAAUGUUCAUAAUAACGUAUUACAUAUGACCUAUCAAGAUGGAAUCCAUAGAUUAGUGUUGGCAACCUAUGAGGGAUGCUCCAAAAGUAACGUCUCCUAUUUUAUUAUGCCAGCCCACAAUAUCAGAGGUGGAUUUUGGUGGUAUGGCAGUAGAGGCUGAAUCUUCCCAGCAAUAUCCCAUUACAUGCUGUUGCAUGUUGAUGGCAGCAGAGAGGCAGCCCAACACAAUGGCAUCUGACGUGGAAGUGCAAAUGAAGCAAAGGUGUGGAAUUUAAUUCCUCCCUGUGGAAAAAAAGGCACCCACUAAGAUUCAUUGAUGCUGCUGAACAUUUAUGGAAGCCAAACAGUGGAUAUGAGCACAGUGAGGCAGUGAGUGGUAUGUUUCAGCAGUGGCAACAGAAAUGUAAAAGACAUGCCGUGUUCUGGACAGCCAUGCAGUUUUUCACAAGCAUGGUGUACGGUCUCUUGUUCAUUGUUGAUGAAGAUGCAUAACUCGUGGUGGUGACUGUGUUGAAAAAGAAGAGUAUUUUGUAGAUGAGAAUUUGCCCUCCAAAACAGUGUUAUUGUGCUCUUUGUAUCUGUUGUAGUUUCUAUGGAAAUUAAUAGGAGGAAUUACUUUCAGAGCAACCUAUGUACUUUGAUAAGAACUUGAAACUUCCAACUAAGAGCUUUGUUUCUUUGCUUCAGAUGAGGCACCCAGAUGCCCGGGAGUAAUUUUACUCUCGGUGGUCUCCGGUUAGAUUGAAUACAAUCAAGUUAAAUUCCCAGACUCUAUGAGCCAAUGUGCAUAUGAUCCUGUACCCAUACUAUGCAUAACUGACUGUUUGGUUUCAGAUUACUGCCAAUGAAAACACAAACAGAAGAGAUUCAGGAAGACAAUCGCACUGUGCCAAGGUAGGACAUAUUUUAUUCUAUUUAAAAUAACUGCAGAUGUACUUAAAUUGAGACAAGGAAAGCUGUGAGGUUUAGAUUUAAAGAGAAAUCAAUCAUCUUGCUGCUCAACGGAAAGAAGGAUUUAAGAAAAUUAAAGUGGAACAGUUGAAGACAUCAUCUUUCACUGCAGCCAGCAUUGGAUUAUAGGUAGAGAAAAAAAGAAAGCCUGCAGGAGAAAGGGACUGGAGCGAGGGAUAAGGAAGUAUUUUAACAACUGGAAACUGAAAAAUGUAUUUAUUUAUUGCUGGUGACCAUGAACCAAGAAAACAGAUAGAAAAAAUAGUCUCUGCUGGUCUGCACAGAUACUGUCCGCAUUUAACAAGAUUUGUAAAUUUUAUCUAAAUUGAUGUGAGCACAGACAGGGAUAACCUCUUAUGCAUACUGCCACAAUUUAUCAUCACAAAGUCUUCAUUUUGUUUAUUUGGACCUCAAGGCCUAGAGAUAAGAUAAUCUGAGUUUCUGACCAAGAGUAGAUGCUCCACCUUUCUGGCUGGUCUACAUACUUUGCCAACUUCUAAGCCAUCCUUUUUUGCCACCUUCUACCCCAUAUAGCAGAGAUGAAAAAUGGUUUCUUACUGAUUUUUAUUUGCAUUUCUACAGCAUUAUAUAUAUAAAGAAGACAGCUAGGUCUUAACCUAUAUUAGUACCCUUUUUCUCUUUACAACAGAGUCAUGCUAAAGAAAAAUACAAGCAGGUAAUACAAGCUAGGCCAAUAGCUAUAUUAUUGAAUCUUACACAUAAUUAAGAUAGAUUUCAGUUUUUGUUUCUCCAACCUUUAGAAAAACUAUAAAGGAUUCAAGAAUGCAAAGUAUGCAAUAUAGGGUAGAAGAUGGUUCUUUCAAUAGUCCUAGGAAAUGGACUGAUUAGUGUACAUCUGUAUGCGUGCACUCUUUGACAAAGUCUAAUGUUUCUUUAUAUUCUUCCUUUUUCAAAGCACAAAUAAAUACCAUAGCUUCUCAGCUUCCCUUUGCCUCCAGUUUCUUCCUAAUUUUGCCAAGAGCCUCAAAAGUAGACACCCAUUUCCCAGUGACAUUAUCCUACAGCAAAAUUAUCACUGCUUAGCAAGAUCUAGCAAUCAGUCUACUUAGCCAUCUUUCUUGCCCUAAUUUUGUCCUCUUACUACUAUCAUUUGGUGUGAUCAGUGCAAUCAAUACCACCUAGCUUCAUCACUACCACCAACCUCACCCUACACUCUUUUUUUUAUAUUCCCUUUUGCCAGGAGUUUUUACCUCUGCAUCUCCAGCCGCUUCUACCGUUGUCUUUAGCCUAAAGCUUGAUGGCCCCAAAGAACACAUACAGCUUUCAGUGCCACUUUCCAUUCCCUUGCACAUACUCUCAGAUCUAGUCAGCUGCCAGUAGACAGUCCUUGGUGACCAGCCUUCACCCCUCCCCCUUAACCAGUAUCAAGAUGCUCCAUCCUCCAGCUCCCCAUUUUGCCAUCACCAUCCCCUGAGGCACUGCUACAACAUCUGCACCUUCUAGUCAUUUGCCAGUGUUUAAUAUAUUUUUUGAAACGUCCUGGGAACAUUAGCCACCUCAUAAUAGACUGAGAUGGGCAUGUGUCGUUUAGGUACUUAACUUUGAGCUCUUGCCAUAUAGAAUCCAUAGCCGUAAGCCCUCAAAAGUCUUCCCCUCAAGCAUGUGAGCUCCACUUAUUUCUUAGCAAUUAAGGAG
rnacentral:lncRNA from 1 species